rnacentral:rRNA from 2 species
CAAUCUUAACGAUGGAUGUCUUGGUUCCUACAGCGAUGAAGGCCGCAGCGAAACGCGAUAGGCAAUGAUAAUUGCAGUGACUGUGAAUCAUCGGACUGCUGAAUGUAAACUACACCCUAAGAGGGAUGGUUCCCUUUUUUAUUGAGA